GAGUUACUCCCUCCGUCCGAAAUACUUGUCAUCAAAAUGGAUAAAAAGAGAUGUAUCUCAAACUAAAAUACAUCUAGAUACAUCCCCUUUUAUCCAUUUUGAUGACAAGUAUUUUCGGAUGGAGGGAGUAUGAG
rnacentral:pre_miRNA from 1 species